GACGAACGCUGGCGGCGUGCUUAACACAUGCAAGUCGAACGAUGAAGAAAAGAAUCGAAGCUUCGGCAGAAAUUCAUUUCGGAUUAGUGGCAGACGGGUGAGUAACGCGUGAGCAACCUACCUCUUACAAAGGGAUAGUCUCGGGAAACCGGGAUUAAUACCAUAUAACAUUGCGACGAAGCAUUUCGAUGCAAUCAAAGCUACGGCGGUAAGAGAUGGGCUCGCGUCCCAUUAACCGGAUGGUGAGGUAACGGCUCACCAUAGUGACGAUGGGUAACCGGCCUGAGAGGGUGAACGGUCACACUGGAACUGAGACACGGUCCAGACUCCUACGGGAGGCAGCAGUGGGGAAUAUUGCACAAUGGAGGGAACUCUGAUGCAGCGACGCCGCGUGAGUGAUGAAGGAAUUCGUUUCGUAAAACUCUGUUCUAUGGGAAGAAAAGGAUUGUACCAUAGGAGAAAGCUCCGGCUAAAUACGUG
rnacentral:rRNA from 1 species